UCUUGAUGAACAUUUAUAGGCACAAGUUUUUAAUUAAUAUUUAUGUAAUUAAAAAUAGUCCCUUUAAGAUGAUUAUUAAUUAUUAUUAUUGCUACUGACAAAACUUUCUAUAUAUUAAGCCUUGAACAUGUCACUUGUGUUUUUUUUUCUCUUUUAAGAAUUUAACUGAAGUCGCCGGAAUAGCACAGGCUUUAUCACCGGAACACAUUUCAUCUCCUUUUCUCUCUUCUCAGACCAACUUUGACUUCAAUCAAAUUUCAAUCAACAAGAAUUUGCUUUGAAAAUAUAAAGAAACUUCCUUUUUUGGGUUUCAAAAAUUGUGAGAUUUUGGGCAUUUAGAAGAAAAGUGGAAUGGGUUGUACUGGAUCGACUCCAGCCAAAGGAGACGGUGAGUCUAUUUUACUUUGUUUUUUCUUCUGGUUUUUCUUGAUUGGUUGCUGAGAAAAUUGUCGGGAAUGUUGGAAGCUUGAAAAACAAUGACAACAUCUUUGAUUUAUUUGAGCUCUAGAACACUUUAGAGUUAAGCUAGUUAAAUGGUAUAUUGAACAAGUAAAGUUUCUGAUAUUUCCUAAGCAACUAAAAGGUUUCCGCUUGAAUUUCUUUUUAUUUUUAAAAAUUUUGUUUCAAUUUAUAGUGUUUUUUCGUUCAUUUUAAGAGAUAUAUAGCAUUUUGGUUAUUCAAUUGUGUGAUAAUUAUAGUCUCUUUGUUUUUUUUCCUAUGGAUGAUAUAAAAACAAAAAUAAACCAUAAUGUUGGAGCAAUGAUUGAAAUAUCUAUCAUCUAUGUAUUCAUGUAACAGCUAAAAGAUUGAAAUUUCUGACUUAUUCCUUUUCAUAGUAUAAAUAAUGUUGUUAUAGACUGAAAAAAGAGAAAGUAGAAGAAAAAUGGGGCUAAAUUUGGGAUGAUGAUUUGAAUGUUCUAUUAUUAGCUUGCAAUUAGUACUCAAUUUGUUUUCCAAAUGUUUCUGAAAAUUUUCCUUCUCCUUUAAUUUAUUCCCCUGUAAACUCUACUAGAAUGAGUUGUUGUUUGCUGAAAUAGAGUAUAUGCAGAAAAAGGUAAGUAUUUUUUUUCCAUUCUUGUUGCUCUUCACAUCGCUAUUUAAUCCAAAACUGAUAUUUUGUAUUUUCACAAUUCCUAGCCGCUGCUAGUUUUCACUCUCACGCAUAAUAUUUCUUAUGCUUCUCAACACUCAAUAUCUAUUUCUCACUUAUACGUCUUUUUUCUUUGCUCACUUAUACACACCACACAUCUAAACGUGCAUGUAUAUAGGUUAUAUAAACUGACUUAGAGGCUUAACCUUACUGCCAUACUUUCAGCAAGCUACCACAUUGCUCUGAUUCUUGCCACAUUGUUUCUAUUCAUGCAUUGUCAAUUUAAAACCAUUUAUAACUUUCCACCUAGCAAGCCAACUUAUCAACUUAUCUCUAUGAUAAGCCGACCUUGAAGUGGAUUUGACUUUUAAAACUUCCCCUCAAAUCCAGCUUUUUCAUUAUAUGUUUUUCUUUUAAGUUUGUGAAUAUGUUUGUCUUCAGUGAAUUUGUAAAAAUAUCGGCUAAUUAAUAUUUCAUCUUGCUAUUGACUAGUUGAACGUUUUCAUUCUUCACCUUUUCUCAAGAGGUAGCUAAAAGUUCAGGCAACAAAACUCAUCCUAUGAAUUAAACCUAGAGAUUAAGGAAGCAAAUCAACGGAUAAUUUGGUGUACUAAUUUUCCAAGAUAUCACCAGCAGUAAAAAGAAAUCUGAAAAAAAUGGAGUUAUCUAGACGAAAAAAAAAGAUAAACUCACCGGUGGUGGAAAAGAGGAACAAAGAAGCAGCAGAGGAACAAAGAACCAGCACCAGCAAAGGAACAAAUAACCAGUAGAGGAACAAAGAACUAGCACCAGCAGAGGAACAAAGAACCAGCACCAGCAGAAGAACAAAGAGCCAGCAGAGGAACAAAGAACCAGCGAUGGGAGAAGAGAUGAGAGCAAAGAACCAGUGUUGUGUGUGUGGCUAAAAAGGUAAAAGAGCAACCUAAAAGCACUUUUUGGCUGAAAAAGCUAAAAAUUUCUGCGUUUUCAUUUGGCCAAAAGCACUUCAAAGAAGUUAGAAAUUUGCUACCAAAUGAAGUGUGUUCUUCAUUACUUUUCACCCAAAAGCACUUCUAUAUGUAAAAGUGCUUUUCAAACGCCCAAAAGAACUAGCCCUAAGGUGACAUUUGAGAUGGAAAAUUUGAUAACAUCAAAACUUAAUUGAUUCUUUAAAUUAUUUUAUGAGGACUUAAUUGAUUCUUUUUUAAUUAUUUUAGGAGGC
rnacentral:lncRNA from 1 species